rnacentral:rRNA from 1 species
CAAUAGCGUAUAUUAAAGUUGUUGCAGUUAAAAAGCUCGUAGUUGGACUUCUGGUUUGGUGAGAUGGUCCGCCGCAAGGUGAGCACUGUUUUGUCGAGCCUUCUUCUCGUAGUUGUGUGGUGCACUUAACUGGGUGCCAUGUGAAUAUGGGACCUUUACUUUGAAAAAAUUAGAGUGUUCAAAGCAGGCCUUCGCUUGAAUACAUUAGCAUGGAAUAAUAGAAUAGGACUUUGGUUCUAUUUUGUUGGUUUCUAGGACUGAAGUAAUGAUUAAUAGGGACGGUUGGGGGCGAUUAGUAUUUAAUUGUCAGAGGUGAAAUUCUUGGAUUUAUGAAAGACUAACUACUGCGAAAGCAUUUGCCAAGGAUGUUUUCAUUAAUCAAGAACGAAAGUUAGGGGAUCGAAGACGAUCAGAUACCGU